AUGAAGUGUAUUUUGUGUUAGACACGCCUCUGACAUGUAAAGUAAAUUCCAUCUGCAGUACUGAAAAUAUUCCUUACUCUACAUGUAAAAUGCAUGUCUGUCGGUUAUAUUUCUAUCUGAAUGAAUGUUCUCAUUGUGUCCUACUGAACAAGGCCCAGGUGUUGACAUAGCCUAGGCAGCCGCCAUAAAGAAGAAGCCCACUAGCGGCAGCCCAGGCUAGUGUUGACACAGCGCCAGGCCGAAGUAGCUAGCUGUUCUGGCAAAGGGCACCUGUUAGCAAUCGAGUUGGAAGGAACUUCCCCUUUUCUUUCCAUGGGGCGCAUGGCAGUAUAAUCUACUCCAUGAAGGUGGAGAUACACAGGCCCUGGCAUCUAACCAAGGCGUUUGAGACAGUUCAACUUUUCCACCUACAUAGACACCAACCAACCACAUCUUCUGAUUUCUAGAUGGGACAGCUACAGUGAUUAUAUCCCUGACCUCAUGAAAGGGGAGUAGGAGGGAGGGAAAUACGCACAUACACACUGACACACACAAACAACACAUUUUUCUACAAUUGGAAAAACUUUCAAAUUGAAAAUAAAGGAAUGCAAAGACA